rnacentral:rRNA from 1 species
AUUGAACGCUGGCGGCAUGCCUUACACAUGCAAGUCGAACGGCAGCACGGGUGCUUGCUCCUGGUGGCGAGUGGCGAACGGGUGAGUAAUACAUCGGAACAUGUCCUGUAGUGGGGGAUAGCCCGGCGAAAGCCGGAUUAAUACCGCAUACGAACUACGGCUGAGAGCGGGGGACCUUCGGGCCUCGCGCUAUAGGGUUGGCCGAUAGCUGAUUAGCUAGUUGGUGGGGUAAAGGCCUACCAAGGCGACGAUCAGUAGCUGGUCUGAGAGGACGACCAGCCACACUGGGACUGAGACACGGCCCAGACUCCUACGGGAGGCAGCAGUGGGGAAUUUUGGACAAUGGGCGAAAGCCUGAUCCAGCAAUGCCGCGUGUGUGAAGAAGGCCUUCGGGUUGUAAAGCACUUUUGUCCGGAAAGAAAUCCUUGGCUCUAAUACAGUCGGGGGAUGACGGUACCGGAAGAAUAAGCACCGGCUAACUACGUG